rnacentral:misc_RNA from 1 species
GAAAUGCGAUAAGUAGUGUGAAUUGCAGAAUUCAGUGAAUCAUCGAAUCUUUGAACGCACAUUGCGCCCCUUGGUAUUCCAUGGGGCAUGCCUGUUCGAGCGUCAUUUGUACCUUCAAGCUUUGCUUGGUGUUGGGUGUUUGUCUCGCCUCUGCGCGUAGACUCGCCUCAAAACAAUUGGCAGCCGGCGUAUUGAUUUCGGAGCGCAGUACAUCUCGCGCUUUGCACUCAUAACGACGACGUCCAAAAAGUACAUUUUUUACACUCUUGACCUCGGAUCAGGUAGGGAUACCCGCUGAACUUAAGC